rnacentral:rRNA from 1 species
GACGAACGCUGGCGGCGUGCUUAACACAUGCAAGUCGAACGGAAAGGCCCUGCUUUUGUGGGGUGCUCGAGUGGCGAACGGGUGAGUAACACGUGAGUAACCUGCCCUUGACUUUGGGAUAACUUCAGGAAACUGGGGCUAAUACCGGAUUGGAGCUCCUGCUGCAUGGUGGGGGUUGGAAAGUUUCGGCGGUUGGGGAUGGACUCGCGGCUUAUCAGCUUGUUGGUGGGGUAGUGGCUUACCAAGGCUUUGACGGGUAGCCGGCCUGAGAGGGGGACCGGCCACAUUGGGACUGAGAUACGGCCCAGACUCCUACGGGAGGCAGCAGUGGGGAAUAUUGCACAAUGGGCGGAAGCCUGAUGCAGCAACGCCGCGUGCGGGAUGACGGCCUUCGGGUUGUAAACCGCUUUCGCCUGUGACGAAGCGUGAGUGACGGUAAUGGGUAAAGAAGCACCGGCUAACUACGUG